rnacentral:lncRNA from 12 species
AUGGCAGGGAUACACACUGCAGAGGGAAGUCAAGUUUGGUUUCAGCAUGAACUGAUUAGAUCCUUGACAUUUUCCAGGCUACUCCUUCUGUUGGCCUGGCACCCACAGGCUGAGAGCUCUCUACCUAGAAUCUACACAGGACUUGUCAGGGUGUCCUCUACCCACUUGAUUUGACUUGAGUAUGUGGUUUCCUGGCUUACCAAGGCCUUGACAGAAAUCUGGCCCCAAGACGACUCCUCCAAAGCCUCAAGCGAUGGUCACCAUUUCUGAUGUUAUUAAAAAUGGACUGGGGAGGCUGAGAAAUAUGUGAGCUUUCUCGUCUCUCCUCUUCUCUUCUCUUCUCUUCUCUUCUCUUCUCUUCUCUUCUCUUCAAAUGUCUUCUCUUCUCUUCUCUUCUCUUCUC